rnacentral:tRNA from 1 species
GGGGAUGUGACUCAGUGGUAGAGCGCUCGCCAUGUAUGUGUGAGGCGCUGGGUUCCAUCCUCAGCACCACA